rnacentral:rRNA from 1 species
UACGUAGGUGGCAAGCGUUGUCCGGAUUUAUUGGGUUUAAAGGGUGCGUAGGCGGCCCUGUAAGUCAGUGCUGAAAUAUCCCGGCUUAACCGGGAGGGUGGCAUUGAUACUGCGGGGCUAGAGUACAGAUGAGGUAGGCGGAAUUGACGGUGUAGCGGUGAAAUGCUUAGAUAUCCGGAGGAACACCGGUGGCGAAGGCGGCUUCCUGGACCGACACUGACGCUGAGGCGCGAAAGCUAGGGGAGCAAACGGGAUUAGAUACCGUGG